rnacentral:rRNA from 1 species
GACGAACGCUGGCGGCGUGCUUAACACAUGCAAGUCGAACGCUGAAGCUCAGCUUUUGUUGGGUGGAUGAGUGGCGAACGGGUGAGUAACACGUGAGUAACCUGCCCCCUUCUUUGGGAUAACGCCCGGAAACGGGUGCUAAUACUGGAUAUUCACUGGUCUUCGCCUGGGGGUUGGUGGAAAGGGUUUUUCUGGUGGGGGAUGGGCUCGCGGCCUAUCAGCUUGUUGGUGGGGUGAUGGCCUACCAAGGCUUUGACGGGUAGACGGCCUGAGAGGGUGACCGGUCACAUUGGGACUGAGAUACGGCCCAGACUCCUACGGGGGGCAGAAGUGGGGAAAAUGGCACAAUGGGCGCAAGACUGAUGCAGCGACGGCGCGUGAGGGAUGGGGGCCUUCGGGUUGUGAACCUCUUUCGCUCAUGGUGAAGCCGCAACAAUGGUUGUGGUGAGGGUAGUGGGUAAAGAAGCGCCGGCUAACUACGUG